CAAUAGAUCAACUUGCAAAUGGGUCAGAACAUUAUUCUUAAAAUAAUCAUAUUUUCUCCAAACAAGAGAAAUUGAUCGGAGAAAACAAAAAUCUCGCCAAUUUCCAUUCUCAUCAUUCAAAGAAUCAAAACAUAGAAGUAAUUUAUUUCCUUUAUGCAUCAUUUUCUUUAUAUUAAUUGCAAUAAUAAUAAUAAUAAUUUGUAGACAAGAAGUAUAAGAGAGCAAUGAUGGAAAUGAAGAGGGACUUGGAAAACCAGCCACAAAUUCUAUUUCAACGCUUUAAUUUGAUGAAUAACAUUGAGUUCCUAAAAGCCGUUUACAAAUGUGUUUCUGUAACUAUUACUGGCAAUCUCAAACCCCAUAUAAUUAAACCAACAUAGUAUAUAAUAAGAGUAAAUUAAUUGCAAUUAAAAAUAAACUAUAGUCUAUAGAAAUUAUUAUUAAUUAUAACAAGAUGAAAAUGAAAAAAAAAAAUGCCUGGCUUUCCCAUGUACGCCGCUAGUGAUGAAUUCUCCACCACAAAUGAGAUCGAUCCUAGUCAUCAAAAUCUUACCUCGUACCAACAAAAAACAUCAUCAAACAAUUGAAAAUGAGUCUUAGCAAAGUUCAUGAAUUUCUUCUUCCUCUUCUUGUUCUUGUCCAUGACCAUCUAGCUAUAAGUUCUCAAUGCUUUGCUUAUAAAUAUAAAUAUAUAAAUAUUUGGCUCUAGAGAUCCAAAUUGAGGAGUAAUAAUUAAUUAACACAAAAAGGGUAUCACAAUUUGUUUGUGUUUAUAAUAAGAAAGACAUAGAGUGAGAGACAAAGAGAAAGGGAAGAGGUAUAUAGAAGAAGGUUAAUGUUUUGUUCCCAAGACAAGAAGAUGAAGAGUUAGAGGAAUUCCCGUUGAUGUUGUUUUCAAAGAAGGUUUUAAUUUUCCUUGCUGUGGGCCAUGAAAGAAGGCAUUUUUGUUUCACACGUUGGGGUGGUUCUCUUUGUCUUCCCCUUCAAAACUCCAGUCAAAGGUUUUAGUUUUAGCUACAUUAACCCUCAAU
rnacentral:lncRNA from 1 species